rnacentral:rRNA from 1 species
UAGAGUUUGAUCAUGGCUCAGGACGAACGCUGGCGGCGUGCCUAAUACAUGCAAGUUGAGCGCUGAAGGUUGGUACUUGUACCAACUGGAUGAGCAGCGAACGGGUGAGUAACGCGUGGGGAAUCUGCCUUUGAGCGGGGGACAACAUUUGGAAACGAAUGCUAAUACCGCAUAAAAAUUUUAAACACAAGUUUUAAGUUUGAAAGAUGCAAUUGCAUCACUCAAAGAUGAUCCCGCGUUGUAUUAGCUAGUUGGUGAGGUAAAGGCUCACCAAGGCGAUGAUACAUAGCCGACCUGAGAGGGUGAUCGGCCACAUUGGGACUGAGACACGGCCCAAACUCCUACGGGAGGCAGCAGUAGGGAAUCUUCGGCAAUGGACGAAAGUCUGACCGAGCAACGCCGCGUGAGUGAAGAAGGUUUUCGGAUCGUAAAACUCUGUUGGUAGAGAAGAACGUUGGUGAGAGUGGAAAGCUCAUCAAGUGACGGUAACUACCCAGAAAGGGACGGCUAACUACGUGCCAGCAGCCGCGGUAAUACGUAGGUCCCGAGCGUUGUCCGGAUUUAUUGGGCGUAAAGCGAGCGCAGGUGGUUUAUUAAGUCUGGUGUAAAAGGCAGUGGCUCAACCAUUGUAUGCAUUGGAAACUGGUAGACUUGAGUGCAGGAGAGGAGAGUGGAAUUCCAUGUGUAGCGGUGAAGUGCGUAGAUAUAUGGAGGAACACCGGUGGCGAAAGCGGCUCUCUGGCCUGUAACUGACACUGAGGCUCGAAAGC